rnacentral:rRNA from 1 species
UACGGAGGAUCCGAGCGUUAUCCGGAUUUAUUGGGUUUAAAGGGAGCGUAGGUGGAUUGUUAAGUCAGUUGUGAAAGUUUGCGGCUCAACCGUAAAAUUGCAGUUGAAACUGGCAGUCUUGAGUGCAGUAGAGGUGGGCGGAAUUCGUGGUGUAGCGGUGAAAUGCUUAGAUAUCACGAAGAACUCCGAUUGCGAAGGCAGCUCACUGGACUGCAACUGACACUGAGGCUCGAAAGUGUGGGUAUCAAACAGG